UACAGCAAUGGCGGCUCGUGGAGCCUCUAAAUAGUUCCCGGAAGUAGCAGCAAACCGAUGCCGCGCCGUAGAGAUGCAGCAGAACAAACCGUUUGCGACGCACUUUUAAAAGGUCUAGGGGUGCAUCGUGGAGCAGGGCCCUCCUCUUUUUGACCACAGGACGAUGUACAAAGAUUCUGGGAAUAGCAUCUGGUCUCAGCCCACUCUUGAAUUUUUUGGUCAUGACAAAUUGCUUUGCUUCAAUUUGCCUGCAGAGUGACUUCAGUUUAGUUUCCACGGACAACUUUUUUUUGUCUACCCACAUACAGUACAUAUCACAUGGUGGUUAAAUGCACUGAUAGGUAACACUGAUGACCCCCUGCAAUGUCUCACCCUGAGUCUCAGCUCCCUGGGUUUUGCAAGGCUUUGCUUGUUCCUUAUUUCUAGUAAAUCAUUUUCAAUGUAAAAAAGUGCAAAUAAAUUUAAGUAUAAUUACCUAA